rnacentral:rRNA from 1 species
GACGAACGCUGGCGGCGUGCUUAACACAUGCAAGUCGAGCGGUAAGGCCCUUUCGGGGGUACACGAGCGGCGAACGGGUGAGUAACACGUGGGUGACCUGCCCUCAGCUUUGGGAUAAGCCUGGGAAACCGGGUCUAAUACUGGAUAUGACUCCAUGACGCAUGUUGUGGGGUGGAAAGCCUUGUGCGGCUGAGGAUGGGCCCGCGGCCUAUCAGCUUGUUGGUGGGGUGAUGGCCUACCAAGGCGACGACGGGUAGCCGGCCUGAGAGGGCGACCGGCCACACUGGGACUGAGACACGGCCCAGACUCCUACGGGAGGCAGCAGUGGGGAAUCUUGCGCAAUGGGCGAAAGCCUGACGCAGCGACGCCGCGUGAGGGAUGACGGCCU